UGUUUUCAAUUUGUUAUAAAGUGGCGACAACAUGGCAACUAAGAUUUUGAUUAUGGCUUUGGCAUUGGUGUUGCUCUGUGCUGUCUUAGUCAGUGCCCAGCCAAGAAUCGAUCUAUGGAAAUUUAAAUUAAAUCGUGCGGUCGAAAACAACGCACUAGAUGGUUAUACGGCCAAAACCAGCGCACUGGAUGGCGCUGAAUCAGACGAGGAAACGAACAUUCCAGACGUGUUACCUUUAAAUUAUUAGACACAGGCCAUUCAAGGUGGUGUGUACUUUGAAGGUUACUGAAAAUAAAACGACGCUGAACAAGUCACUACCAAGUAAUUAGCAACUGGUGGCGGUAAUUCAUCUUUAGAACAUAAUAAAAUAUGACCAUUAAAUAUUGUCACUCGA